ACAAUUUAAAACCAUUUAACACGUUUCACCUCUGGGGCUUUUUAAAAAAUGGGGCAUUUUUGAAAAAGCCCCAGAGGUGAAAUGCGUUAAAUGGUUUUAAAUUGUGUAUUUUAACAA